GGACCCGCACAAGCGGUGGAGCAUGUGGUUUAAUUCGAAGCAACGCGAAGAACCUUACCUGGUCUUGACAUCCUUCUGACAAAGUAUGUAAUGUACUCUUCCUUCGGGACAGAAGUGACAGGUGGUGCAUGGUUGUCGUCAGCUCGUGUCGUGAGAUGUUGGGUUAAGUCCCGCAACGAGCGCAACCCUUAUCUUUAGUAGCCAGCAGUUCGGCUGGGCACUCUAGAGAGACUGCCAGGGAUAACCUGGAGGAAGGUGGGGAUGACGUCAAAUCAUCAUGCCCCUUAUGAUCAGGGCUACACACGUGCUACAAUGGCGUAAACAAAGGGAAGCAAUCACGUGAGUGUGAGCCAAAUCUACAAAAAUAACGUCUCAGUUCGGAUUGUAGUCUGCAACUCGACUACAUGAAGCUGGAAUCGCUAGUAAUCGCGAAUCAGAAUGUCG
rnacentral:rRNA from 1 species